rnacentral:lncRNA from 1 species
CUAUAUACAGUAGAGAGGCUAUAUACAGUAGAGAGGCUAUAUACAGUAGAGAGGCUAUAUACAGUAGAGGCUAUAUACAGUAGAGAGGCUAUAUACAGUAGAGGGGCUAUAUACAGUAGAGAGGCUAUAUACAGUAGAGAGGCUAUAUACAGUAGAGAGGCUAUAUACAGUAGAGAGGCUAUAUAUAGUAGAGAGGCUACAUACAGUAGAGAGGCUAUAUACAGUAGAGAGGCUAUAUACAGUAGAGAGGCUAUAUACAGUAAAAAGACAGGCUAUAUACAGUAGAGAGGCUAUAUACAGUAGAGAGGCUAUAUACAGUAGUGAGGCUACAUACAGACACCGGUUAGUCAGGCUGAUUGAGGUAGUAUGUACAUGUAGAUAUGGUUAAAGUGACUAUGCAUAUAUGAUGAACAGAGAGAAGCAGUAGCGUAAAAGGGGGCGGGUGGUGGGUCACAAUGCAGAUAGUCUGGUUAACCAAUGAGCGG